rnacentral:rRNA from 1 species
GAUGAACGCUAGCGGCAGGCCUAACACAUGCAAGUCGAGGGGUAGAGAGGUGCUUGCAUCUCUUGAGAGCGGCGGACGGGUGAGUAAUGCCUAGGAAUCUGCCUAGUGUGGGGAUAACGUUCGGAAACGGACGCUAAUACCGCAUACGUCCUACGGGAGAAAGCGGGGGAUCUUCGGACCUCGCGCCAUUAGAUGAGCCUAGGUCGGAUUAGCUAGUUGGUGAGGUAAUGGCUCACCAAGGCGACGAUCCGUAACUGGUCUGAGAGGAUGAUCAGUCACACUGGAACUGAGACAUGGUCCAGACUCCUACGGGAGGCAGCAGUGGGGAAUAUUGGACAAUGGGCGAAAGCCUGAUCAGCCAUGCCGCGUGUGUGAAGAAGGUCUUCGGAUUG